CCUCAUUUAAUAUUUAUCCUAAAGCCACCCCCUCUCAAACCCGUCUCUCCCAAUUCACCCCACCCUUCUUCAGAGACAACACAAGUCCUAGCGCCGCCUUGGUUCUCCACCGCCUUGGGUCGGCGCCAAAUUGUCCCAAAUUCACGCCAUGGAAACCUCAUAGCCUCCCCUCUCGCAUUCUCCAAUUAUUCUCCCUCGAAUCCCUCUGAAGCUCCUUGAAUCAUAAAUCAAAAAUCCGAACCCUAAAAUCCCAAAACCCCCUAAAUCAAGAUUUUAUUGAAAUUCAAUGUCUAAUUUGAUUUUAUUCGUAUGUUUUUUAUACGAACACACGAUUAAUGUCAAAAUCGGCUGAAGAUUUGAAGAUAUUAAGACUCUUUCCAAUUCUUUACAGUCCGAAAUAAUUUUAGGUAUUUUUCUUUUUCUUUUGUUAUAUUUUCCUCAUUCUACUUUCUUUGUUUCUUUCUCCUCCUAUUAAUUACUUUUUAUUUUUUUAGUUUCUCCAGAGUCAUUUGUUUAUGCAUGUUAGUUCUGAAACUUUUUCUUUAAUUAGUACUUUUAUUCUGUUAAUUAGCUUAGUUUAGAUCUAUUAAUUUAGUUAAUUCUAGUUAAUAAGUCAUUCAGUCUAUAUUUUUAAUAGUCGAAACCAUUUCAUCAUCUGUGUUAUUCUGUGAUUACAAUUUUUAAUCAGAUAAUUAUGUCACUGAGCUUUGGGUUGUGUAUGACCCAUUUUCAAAGAGCAGCCCGUUCACUUGCGUUUAAGUCAUUGGGUCAAAUUGACCCAUGAGUUUUCUGAUGUAAUUAACAUGGUCUUAAUGGGUAAAUUAGGAAAUUUAAGAUAAGGAAUCUCUCCUAACUGAAUUAGGUAGCAGCUAAGAAGCUUUCUUUGCGACUUACUUGAAAAUCUGAUUUUUACACUAAGGGUAUCUAAGCAAAAAUGAAAAUUUAAAAAGGUUUUAGGUGCAAAAACUUAACUCACUUCUGCAGUCCUAAGACUUGUUUAUGAAGGCGCGCAUUCUUCAAUAGCAAGUCAGAUUCUAGAGACUGAAAAUCCUAAAAAAUCAGAAACGACUAAUUCUGAAAAAGAAUUCUGAAAUAACACUGAACCUCACUGCAUUUCUUUAGAAAAUUGCUUAAACUCUGCUUUGGUUUUUAGUUUCUUUGGUUAGCUGGAGUUGUUGAAAGUUUCAAAGACCUUGCACUUGGUUAAAAUGGCUUGAGUUUUUGGUUUGCAGCCUGGUUUUGAGCUGUUUUUCAAAAUAUUGUUUCAUUGUUGGGGUUCUUAGCUGAUUCUGUUGCUGCUUCCCUUUUUGGUCGAGCUCGUGCUUCCGUUUACUCCUAAUCUCAGACUUUGUUCUAUUUUUGUUCGGCAGUACUCAGGCACCUAUUCCCAAGCUCUACUGAAUGUGGAAGUUAGAUUUGAAGCAUGAAAUAAAAUGUAGAAUUUGAAGCAUGUCCUCAACUUUAGCUAUGAAUUAAGUUUAUAUUUCCUCAUUGUAUGACGUUUUAACAACCUGAUUCACCGUACCUUUCGAUUAAUUUUUCGUUUGAAUAGUGUAGUUUGGUGUUCUUAUGUUAAUUUGGGACUGAGUAGAUAGUACAGCAGAAGGUGUAUUCUAGAUGUAUGAUUCACUUAUUUCUGUUGAAAGUCAGCAUUUAUCCUUGAUGUCGAUUUCAUGUUGAACUUGCAAGAUGACUAGUGUAGUUUGUUAUUUGAAGGGCACUCUGAGGUGUUCUAAAAUUGCUAUGAUGGUUUUGUUGGGGAAUAAAGUUUGUGAUAUAUGAUCUUGAACACAUGUUUAAUUUACUUAUGACUUUUGUGUGAGAUUUUUGCAUAAUAGGUUCAGUGUGCAAUAUCAUGUGAAAAUGAGGUUUAAAUCUUGCAAGGGUUUCGAUCUUUGAGAAUUGUUAGUUGUGAAAGGCAGUCCGUGUUGUGAUUAGUAUACUGUUAUUAUGAAUAAGGAAAAUAGUCUAAGAUUAUUGGUCUGCUCAUGAGCAUGUUUAAGUGGGGAUUGGCAUUUUUAAAUUCUAGAAUAUCUAGCUAAUUGACUUAUGCUUAGAAAAAGUUAAAAGUUUAGAAGCAAAAUGUCGGUUCCAUUUCAUGAUUCAUAUAGUCUUGUUUGAUUUGCAAUUAAUAAAUUUGCACAAUUGUUUGGUUUUAUAAGUUGGGCCUGUUGCUGGCCCAGUUAAUGUAAAGUUUCAAUUGCAUGGCCUAUGUGUUUGGACGUUCAUUUUUCAUUAAGACUUGGGCUCAUUUAGGGCCUAAGCCUGAAGGCAUCCGCAGUGAGAUUUAGACACACUUCGUCUUUGUUAAAUCCAAUCCUUUCCUUAAUUGUUUGCGAUAACCCAAGCCCCAUUUAUUUAGCUUUGAACAAAAUUCCAAUUCUCUUAGUGUUUAACUAAUUAGAUUUUACCAAUUAGAUUGGAGCCGUGCUAUAUUAGGUGGAACACAGUUUAUGGCCCUCAAAAGUUUAGUUUGUGCUUUUCCGUUAAAAUGGAAUCAGGGUGUGUUGUGUCAAAUAAAAUCUCAAAAUGCAUGGCCCCUACUUAUUUAAUAUUUAAAUCCUUAGAAAUCGAGGUGUGCCAUUUAUUUGAAUUUUUCAUGGCCCUCGCUAAUAUGAAAGAGCAUAGUUGCUUUAGGCGCACUAUUUAAAAACUACUUCCCUAAACUCUGGUAUGCAUUUAUAUGACCCAAAUCCAAAUCUCAAAAAUAUUAUAUAUAAUGUAUUGUAGACUGCUAGUGCAUUUAUGUUAUGUGGUUCGAGAUGUAUUUUAGAUGACGUGUAAAUCAGUAAUAAAGUUAAAAUUGAACCAUAGGUUAUAACAUGUAUUAAAAUUAGAUAUAGGCCAAUUAUGAUAGUUUAGGUGAUCGUGCUAGAACCACGUAAUUUGAGGGUGCCUAACACCUCCCCUCGGGUCAACAAAAUUCCUUGUUAAGAAUUUCUAGUUUGCAUACUUCAAAACGGAAGUCGAAGUUUCCUCGAUUUGGGAUUUUAAAUUAAACCGAUUACUUGGGACACCAAAUAAAUUAUUCCAAGUUGUGAGUGUUUAGAACUUCGUUUCAAGGUUCAAGAAUUUGAGCUUAGAAUAAAUUUUAUCAUUGACUUUUAUUUAUUAUAUGAUUUUAUUACAUGUUUGAGCCAAAUGUGAUAAGUGUCGCUUUUACCGCUUUGAUAUUAUUUGAACUAUAUAUAAACUGUUACAAAACCCUUCUCUUCUCAUCUUCGGGGAUGUGCACGCUGGCGUGACUCCUCUUUCUGUUAGUGUCAUACGUUGAAAUAAGAAAGAGGCUCGGACAAGUUACAGAGCUCGAUGACCUUUUGGUUCCCGGUACAUAGCCCCCUCCUCGGCUCGAGUUGUCCGCUCGAAAGUACACAAGUCUAGAACAAUAUACCCAGGUUUUUUUGACUUAGAAUAAUUCAGCCUCAUGUCAGAUCCCUAGUAGGAACAUUUGUUUGCAUCAUCUGCAUUUGACUUUUGAGACUCAACACAGGGGUUGGGUAUGUCUUUAAUAGGUGUACCCAAAAUGAAAAGACCAUCCCCAUACAUCCUACUUGCUACUUGUGCAUUCAUUUGCUUCGAAUUUACAUGUCGACCGACUCAUCGAAUAAUAGGAGAAAAUGUUAGGACAAAGAAAGUCAAUGUGAGGGCUAACAUAGAUAAUUUUCUAUUUUAUAAAUAACCAAUGUCCAAAAUAAGCCGAUACUCUACCGAAAUUUUUGAAGAAAAAAGAAGGAAUUGGUUUCAAAAGUUUCAUGUCUUUUCUCUAUUUUAUUUUUGUCGAAGCUGACCGAAUUAUGUGGGUCUGAUUCUCACCUGAUGUGAGUUACGUAUUCAAACCUCAUCGGCCCCGACACUAAUUUUAAAACAAAUCCAAAAAUAUUUUACUUUAGUUCCUUUUUUAAAAAACUUUCCUUAGGAAAUUAAAAAAAGGUAUUUUUUUUUAAACUCAAAAAUGGUUUCCUUCUUUCUAAUGUCUUUCAUGCGAAAAAGAAAAGUCAAUAAAAAUCAAAAUCCAAAAUACGGGCUCCUUCAUUUGGAAGUAUUUUUCCAAAUAAAAAUUCAAAACAAAUCAGAAACAAAAAUCCAAAAAGUACUCUUUAAAUGUCUUUCUUUUGUAAUUGUCCAUAAAAGUUUUUGAAAAAUUAAAUCCAAAAAUAUUUUCACUUUUAUUUAGAAAUGCUUUUGUAAAUAAAUAAAAUCUUAGAAAUCAAAAUUUUUUUUUUGAAAAAUCCCUCUUUCAUAAAUAAAGAGGCAACAUCCAAAAUCAAAAAUAUAUUUUCUUUCUUCUUUAAAAUAAGAGAAAACAAACGAAAAUUCAAACAAAAUAUAUUUUUUUACUAUUAAAAUUUCCAAAAUUAAAAUCAAAAGCAAAUGAUUUUUUAAAGGUCUUUCUUUCAAAGCAAAACAAAAAUCAAAACCAAAACAAUCACAAAAACAAAAAAAGAUUUUCUUUCUUCUUUUAAAGCAUUUCUUUAAAAUUUUCAAACAAAAAAAGGAGUUCGAUUAUUUACUAUUUUCGAUCUUCCCGAACUACGCAAGAUCUGAUUCAUGUGGGGCCAUGAUAUGUAGACAAUCCCCAUCGAAUUUGAUCAUAAUCAUACAGUUAGUUGAGCAAUAAAAUAAACUUAAAAAAAUUAUUUUGGGUGAAAAAGAAAGAAAAGAGUGAAAAAAAGAAGAAAAAAAAGUGACAAAAAAGAAAAGAGUGCAAAAAUAAAAUAGCGGCAAAAAGCGAGAUGAAGCGAAAAUCAUCAAGAGUGAUUAAAGAGAGGCAGUAACAAGAAAAAAGAGGUACAUAGUGAACGGAUUAGCUAAGGUUCGGAUGAAACAUGCAACCGUCCAAACACAUGGUAGAAGUGUUUAACUAUUAGGUGCAUUGCAUCCCAACAUGCGAUUCCUUAUAUGUUAAAUGUGUCAAAACUAACAAGGUUGUUGGUGUGAGAAUAAUAUCCCGAUUCUAUUCAGGUAGUUGGUUUUGCUGGUAUGCAGUGAUGAACGUGCAACCUUUCACGCUGCCACAACAUUAUACACAAAACUGAGCUCCACCUACCAGAAAUUCCCAUCCUUACUAGGCUCCAUAUAAUCCCCAAACAAAUAUUCCCCAAUAAAAUCCUCGCCCAAGAGAGCCUUUCAAAAGGAAUCAGUUCACCCUUAUUAGUGAAUCUUACUCAUGCUUGUUCCAAAAGUUGGUCAGACGAGGUCUGCUGCAGCCAGUGGCCCCUAACAGCCAAACCCCGAGUCCCCCUUGCACCGAGCUGAUGCUAGAUGAGAAUACAUCUCUAGAUCCAUGGGACACAAUGCAGAGGACUGUUGGACCCUCAAAGGGCAGUUGAAAAUAUGAUUGAAGUUGAAAUUUUUUUUUUUGUUGGAUGAAGAAGCUCUUGAUAUGAUGAACAGUCUGUUGCUUGCUCACAACAAUGGGCUAAUAGUCAGAAUAAUUUGUGAAGAUGAGAAUUUGAUCCGGCGCCAAAGGCCAUUGCAGCUAUUGUCGAGACAGAAGAAAAGCCAAAAAACAAUCACCAAGCCUGAAAGUUCUCCAUCAGAUAGAGACUCGGUAGCCAGUCUUGCUAUCCUUUAUGCAUGCAGAUUAUCUCAGGGCGUGAUCUGGAUGUUUUGUUCUUAAUUCUCGAUGUUAACCCUUCUAUCUUUUGAAAUUCUAAACAAAAACUAAAAAUUAAUCAAAAAAAUUCAAACGAAAUUAAUAAAUUUCAUUGUCCAGGAAUGUCUCUUUUAUUAAUCUUGUCAUUUUUCUUAUUUGUCCCGCCUCCCCCGAAUGAUCGGUGCGGCGGUUAGGCAUCCUUAGACGAAAGAGUGGUCUUUCAGGAUUGGUCGUUGUGUGUCACCACCUCCCACCUAUCCUACACAUUCGAUUAAGGUUGUCACUGCGAAGCUAUAGUUAAGGUGCACGGGGUCUUACCGUCUAGCCGUUGGUACUCCGCAUCUUCACGGAGAAUUCAAUUUCUUGAAAUUCUAAACAAAAACUAAAAAUUAAUCAAAAAAAUUCAAACGAAAUUAAUAAAUUUCAUUGUCCAGGAAUGUCUCUUUUAUUAAUCUUGUCAUUUUUCUUAUUUGUCCCGCCUCCCCCGAAUGAUCGGUGCGGCGGUUAGGCAUCCUUAGACGAAAGAGUGGUCUUUCAGGAUUGGUCGUCGUGUGUCACCCUUUCCAACUCUUUUAAAUCCAAAUUUCAAUAACAUGAUAUGCUUGCGGACUUUAUGUCCAGAUCCUGAAUCACUGUCAGAACUCAAAAUAAUGAAUCAAGAAUUAGAUAAUAAUGAAGGUAGGAUUAAGGAAACAAAAAAAAAGUUGGAACAACUGAAGGAAAAUUGAUUUCAGAUUGGAAAGGUCAAUACAUCGCAACAAGAGUACUUCCAAAUGAGUGUGUUGUACUUGGGACACAUCGAAGAAAAUUUCCCCGAAAUGAUUGUCAAUGUAAAUGCAUUCAAAAAGAACUAUCUUAUAUCCUCUAUAUAAAAAUAAUGUUCUCCGAUUGAGAUAAAGAAGACAUUUAUUCUCGCUACCCAAACAUUACCAACCAUUUGCAAAGCCUUUAAGCCGGUUACUCUUCUUUGAUUAUCCUCUUUGGAACUUGAAAGUGUUAUUGAAAAAAAUGAGAUGAAAAAUGAAAAAAAAGUAAAGAAAAAGAAAAAUACAAAAAAGGGGAGAAGAAACGACAAAGAAAAUGAAACAAAAAAGGAAAAAAAAGAGAGGAAAAAGAAAGGGAAAAUAAAACAAAAAUAGAACAAAAAUAAAAUCAAAAACAAAGUUUUCCUGAACUACGUCUAACUUGAUUCCGAAAGGAUACAUAGGUAGCCUCUCUUCGAGGUUCAAUCACACCAAAAUAAAAAUCCAAAUUCUCCUGAAAGUAAAACUGGGGUAGAAAUUAAAAUUGUUCGGCGAUGACCCCACCUGAAUGGUUCCAAAGUUGUAAUUUAGCCCAAAUCAUUUCACCCAAAUCCUUUCAAGUCCUUCCGAUCAAUCGGUGAUAAUGUCCAAGGAUCGGAGAAUGCAACUACUUGGAUAUGAUACAACAAAAUGAGAGAAAUAAAAUGAUAGAGUCUUAUUGGUGAAAACUCACACGGGCACCAUGAAGUGAUAGUAAGCAGAGAAAUGAAAAACGAGAGAGUCUUGUUAGUGAAAACUCGCAAAGGGAACUAUAAGGUGAUGGUGAGAAGAGAAACGAGAGUAGUCAGCCAAUGAAAACCCGCAAAGGGCGCCACUGAUUGAAAAAAGGAUCCUCACAACUAUUGGCGCCGACAAAGUCCUGGCAAGGUUUCUCGAAUUUUGAAGCAAAUUUGUGAUUAAUUUUUUAGAGUUGGACGGCUUACACAGAUCAGGCAUCUAGUCCAAAAGGGAUGUCAUGUUCAUUGAAGUCCGUAUACUCCAGAUAAGUCCUUCUUUCCUCGCACGAAUUGACUCAUAUUUGACCUCGUUCGAAUUAACACACAUUCGGCCUCGUUCGACUAAACCAACAUUUGACCUUGUUCAAAUUAAUUAAUAUUCGACAUUGUUCUAAUCAACUCACAUUCAAAGUCAUUUGAAUUAACUAAGAGUCGGCAUUCGACCUUGCUCGAAACAAGUCACGCUCGACCUCGUUCAAAUUAAUUAACAUUCGACCUAGUUCGAAUGAACUUACAUUCAACCUCGUUUGAAUUAACUAAGAGUCAGCAUUUGACCCCGCUUGAAAUGACUCACGUUCGACCUCAUUCAAAUUAAUUAAACAUUUAACAUCAGUCGAAUCGACUCACGUUAAAUCUCAUUCAAAUCAACUAUGAUUUAGAAUUUGACUUUGCUCGAAUCAACUCACAUUCGACCUCAUUCAAGUUAAUUAAACAUGCGACCUUGCUCGAAUUCCUAUUUGAAUGCACUUAAUGAUAUACUUGACCAUGUUCGAGAUAGUAGGUAUCAAUACAACUCUUCCAAAGAAAACAUCUGAAGAGAAGUACAAUGGGCCAAGAACAUACAACAAAAACUGAUGAUCAUUCCAUUCCCAAUAACAUAAUCUUACAAAGGGCCAAAAAGACACCCAAAGAAAAAACAAAAAAAUAGAAGAACAAAAACUAAGUACAAAAGCAUCACACAACUUCAUCUCUGCCUUUGCUAUUGACACCUUCACUUCCCGGUCUAGCAAUGCCACCUCCACUAUCGCCCCCACCAUCAGGAUACUCAUUGUCAUACUAAGCAUCAGAUGCAAGCUCAUCUAAGUCCUUUUCACCAUCACUAGUUCCUAGUUUAACGGGGUCAUAGCCACAGGCGAGCUUAGCAUCACGUGCUAUAACAUGAGUAACUUUGGAAUCUACCUCGGGAAUUUUCCCCUCCAUCAUUGAAUUCUUGUAGAUAUCUAACUAAGCCUUGGCAUGGAUCCACAUCUUAUACAAAUGUAGAGGAACGUCGGGGAAAGAAAAAAUCAUGUGAGGAAGACGACCAAGCUAAUAAUCAUACCUUCUCGGCUUUAAGAGCAUCAACUUGUUCACUUAAGCUCAAGACAUCUAUCUCUAGCCCAUAAAUUCGCUCGUCAAUCUGUUUCUCCCUUAGUGCGACCAUUUUUUCAUCAGUUGCGCGUUCAGAUCUAAGGACACAAAUGAAGUCCUCUAAAGCUUCCAUCUUCACCAAAGUCACUGCAUGGGCCUCCUCGACCCCUUUCAACUCGGCCACUCGCUCAAUCUAAUAUCUACUCAUGCCGAAAGCUCUAACCGAGCUUCGCUCAAGCUUGGCUAGCAGGGUGGCACUUCCUCGUCCUUCUGCCUAAACUCAUCUCUAAGGGACUGGAGGUUACCACCUUCUUUGAACCGUGUACACAUCUUAUAGUACUUAUCAUGAUACCAAACGUACUUAGAAACCAUUUUCUAGAAAAUAACCUUAUGCUUCUCUUCAAAAUAAAAGUCUUGAAUAAACAGAGAGUGAAAAGGAAAAGCCAAAAAUUAGUAAAGAUAGAAACAGGAAAAGGAUGUGAAAUACAGAAAUAAUGAGGAAGGAAACACACCCUUAGAGCCAUCCAAGAUAUGCCUAGUAAAAAGUCUAAAUCCUUGAGCACUUGAAGAGUCAUGUUCUCGAUGGUGGAAAAAAGAGGGGAAAAUGAAGGACCACGCUCACUGUAUCCUCCAAACAAUAAUUGUCCAAAGGGAUUACGAUCGAGCGAGAAGAUCCAUUCAUCUCACCUCAACCCGGGUAAACCCUUCGUCAAAUAUUCUCACUUCCUCGGGAUCGACAUUGAAGCCUGAUUCAUAAUCAUCUACGACCACUCUUUUCUCCCUCUCCUUAACCGAAGAGGGAACGUCGGCCUGCUCUGACGUUGCUCCUCAGAAUGACUGUAGUUGCCUCUGAUCGCUCCCCUCCUUCCAAAGAGGUGAUCUCAACAUUCGAAGGAGGCACGAUCUCUGCGUCCAAAGUCGUAACGCCCCUGGUUCGGCCAUGGUCAAUUCGGGUUUACAUCCCACAGGAUCUUCAUCCUCGAUCACUCAGGCAUCAACCUCCACCCUUCGCAUUUUUAGCGGAGCCUCUUUAUCUUUGCCCUAUGACAACGGAUCCACAAAAUGAAAUACUGAAAAAGACAAAAACUACACUAGUAGGGAACAACUUGGCGGUUAGGCAUAUGCCAGGCCGGGUUCUGAGAGGCAACAACAGUCUGAGCAGGCCCCCUUGCAACCACAACUAGUAUAGGCCCGGUCGAACUACUUGACUUGAAAAAAGCAGGAGUAGGAGCAAUCGCCCUCCUUGAAGCCCUCCAACCUACUAGCAAAGAAAUACUAAGUACAAAUAGAAGUAAACAAAAGGAUGGUACAAAGGUCGAAAUUAAUAAGAUCAAAGCGAAACGACUCACCGGCUGAAGGUAUGUGCCUAAACUUCUCAUUGAAAUGCAACCACUCAAGAAUCCACACCGUAUGAGGAAAAAUAUGGCUCACCCAGUCACAAAUGUUGAUUUCUAGCGAAAGAGGAUAUUCUCGGCUACACAAAAAAAUAGAAAAUAACAAGUAGAAUGCUCAGAUCAUCAAAAAGAAAUUACAAACAACCAUUUUGAAAUAAAUAAUUACGAGCAAAUUUCAACCACUCGAGAAACCUAUUGGGGUUCAACAUCACGUGCUUCGUCCUUACGUAGAAAGAGAUUGGCUAAAAAUGGCGAUUUAUUCUAUCAUCCAUCUUCACCACCAAUCCCUUGGUCCCACAAUGGCGAAGGUGUAUCUUCGUGCCCUAGUGAAAACUUGGGGCAAAUAGGUGGAGAAGAUGAUGGAGAGAAAUCCCACGGUUAGCUAGCUCUGUGUACUUGAUAAAAAUAGGGAAAAUCUUAUGUAUGUUCAGGGAGAGCUAAGCUGGGCACAUACCAUAAUAAUGGUAGAAGUCCUCCGGCAAGGAAGGAAGAGGAAGUGUAUAGCCGAGACGAAUCCGAACACGUUGAAUGCGCAGUACCCUGAAUGAUGUAUCCUGCACUACAUCAUUACAAGCAAGGACAAAUUUGAUGUUGUCUAGGAUACACCAUCUAUCCCUAAAUAAAUUGAGCGUCGCCAUAUCCAUCUAAAAAAUGACGGGUUUAGGAUCUUCAUCAUGUCAAUUCUUGAAGUUCGACCUGAUCCUCCCUGAACGUGAAAUUAUCUCAUCCACGGUAGGGAAAUUCUCAUCUUCUACAAUGGUUACUCCUUCUUUAUGAGAAAGCAUGUCUACAGAAAAUGCGACGGGAUCAGCAGCUCCCUCAGGGUUUGAAGAUGCUAGCUAUUUUUCUGAUUACAUAUAGGAGAAGAAAGUGCAAAAGUGAAAGGGAUGACAGUGGAAAAAAUGCAAAAAGUAGGGAGAAAUAAAGAUGCAAAAAAUUUAAAGAUAAAGAAGGGGAGUCUUGGGUUUUCAAAUGCUUUGCAGUAGCCCAAAUGAGGAAUUCCCAUCCAUAUUUAUAAGAAUACUAUCCCCCUGAUCGAGAAAGCGAAAUGCUGCCACAUUGAUUUUAAAACGGAAUAGCCGCAGGAAAUAAGGUAACAUAUUGCGAACAUGCUCCAUAAUGAUGCAUGAUGAAAUGAUGUCAUUUUAAUCUGACGUAACGUCAGAUAUGGCUAUUAAAGUGCCACGGCAUCACCUCGCCAUAAAAGGGUCACUAGUUAGCAACAUGCUCAGGUUUCUCAAAUUGUAACUAGCGAAGCACGCUUAUCGAGAUCGUUCAAAGACAACCGCGAUGGGUGGAGGUACUAACUAUAAGGGUCAAAAUCUAAUAAAAGGAAUCUUGUCUAAGAGAGGAUAACAAAGAGCUAAUUAGGCCAAGGCCAUGGUUAAGAAUAAACAUGUUGGCAAGCUGAGCAUCUAGGGUCGAGGUUGAGCACUAGCAUUGGCCCAAACGACUAGUUUAGUAAUAAUAUAUUUUUAAAGGAAUAUUCUUCAGAAUAUUCUCUCUACUUGUAUCUUUCAAUUAGGUAUAAGAUAUGUCCCAUAUAAGUAGGAAUAGAGAGAGAGGAGAGCGGCAUGUAAUAUUCUAUAUGAUAAGCUCUUUUUUGAAAAGUUGACUCUCAAGAAAAUUUUAAAGAUUACCUUUACGUAAAGAUUUGUUUUAUUGUUGGUCCUAAGCUUUCUCACAUCAGAUUCGAGAAAGCUUUCUAUAUUCCCGCGUUUGUUUUUCUUACAUCAUUGUCAAAAAGAUAGUCAUACAUAUCAUUGAAUAUUUGGGUGAAUCAUUCUCUCUAUUUAUAUUUAUUGCUAUUUAUUAUACUUGUGCUUGUCAUUACUCUCUCAUACAUUGAUAACAAUACCGCUAAACACCCCACUGCUAAUAAAUGGCCUUGAAUACAAUUUUACGUUAUUGAUAUAUGUUAGUCUCAUAUCUAGGAUUUAUUAUAUAUAACUAGAAUUUACCCAUCAUUGUCUUACUUAAUUAGUUUAUCAAAAAGACUUAACACUUUUUGGUAAAAUAAUUUGGUGAUGUCUAUAGGAUUUUUCUAGUUAAAAUUUUAGUUUCUUCUAGAUCUAAAAAAAAAA
rnacentral:lncRNA from 1 species